CCCCAGAGGAAGUGGGUGUGAAAGACCCCCAGAGUGGGGAGACCCUCACUCAAGUCUCGGGAUAAGCUGACGCCCCAAUAAUUAAAGAGAGACCG
rnacentral:pre_miRNA from 11 species